CUAAGUGAACUCUCCCAAAGCAUUUCCUGGAAGCAUUUGCCCAACAAGUAAUCUUCAAACAAACGAACAAACAUACAUACCCACCAUUCCUCUAUUCCGUGUAAUAUAAUCCAUGGACCAACAAGAAUAAGCUUAUUUUCUACUUGUACAAUUUUUGGGUGGUGCGGCUUUUCCUAACCUUCUCACCAUCUGUCAAGACAUAACUUUCAUUACUCUCCAGCAUCACUUUUAACAGCAUCAUCUUUCUUUUCGUCCUUUCUCCUUCCCUCCCUCCCUCCUCCUCUCCCCCUUUGCUUUUCUUCCCUGCCUCUUUUUUCUUUCUUUAAAAGGAAUCUCUUUUGACCUGUGUUUUCCUCAAGGGUUCAAUUGUUUUUAUAUUUCUCUCCCUCAUAAUACAGUCUUUGGGGAUUUAAAAAUACGACAUAAAUAGAAUCUUCUGUGAUUUCUCAGCAGAAGGGAAGGUAUGGUUUGUAUUACUUUCUCUCAUAGGAUUCUUUAUGGGGUAAAUAUUUCCAGAUGCCCCAAAUCUCUUUGUUAUGUUUACUAUAAGAACCAACAACUCUUCCUUUUUCUGUACGGUGACAUGAUUGUGUCCUGGGGUGGCUCCCACUCGUAUCGCUAUGAAAACAGAAGUUUCAUAAACCAGAGAUGAGUUACUUCAACUCAGUUUAAUUCAAUAAACAGUUAUUGAACAUUUACUGUGUCCAGGAUACCAUUGGCCAUGGUGAAUGAUACAUGAUCCCUCCUAUCAAGAAAUUUGCAAUCUAGUAUGGGAGAAACUAUGCAAAUAAAUGUCCAACCAUAAGAUGACUGCUACGGUAUAGUAACAAGCAAAGAUUUAGGAACUCAGUAGGUAAACAACCACCACCUGUUCACCCCCUCUCCUCCAAAAGAGGAAAAAAAGAAUUUUUCCUUUGAUGACAGCAACACAUGACCCAGGAAGGUUGUGACAGAAAUAAAGUUUACAGAAGUCGUGUUCCUGCGAUAAGAAAUAAAGAUGUGACCUUCCAGUUGUGUAAAGCUCUUAAAUGCUGUGUAAGUGCGUCGGGUGCGCUAAGGACCCUGGAGCUAAAUGGGCUAGUUCUGAGAGAGAGAGACUUAACUAUGUUAACAAGAAGUGCUUCUCAGUGGGGGUGAUUUUGUCCCCUCGGGGAUAUUUGGCAAUAUCUGGAGACACUUUUGGUUGUCACAAGUAGCUGAUGUGUUACUGGCAUCUAGUAGCUGCCAAGCAGUAACGGCUGUCUUUGUACUGAAUCCCGGAAGUGUCUCUGUAUCCUGGAAGUAUUGCAAUGAUCGUCUUCACACCUGCAAAAUAUUCCUGCACCGUGUACACAAAUGAUUAUGGCUCCGCUCUCGGGCCUCACCUGGGAGCUACUGCAUGUGAGGAUCAAAUUGAUACACAUUAGGGCAUCCUCAGCGGUCUUUGGCAAAGGCCUAUAGAUUACCUCGCUAUCCAAUUUGUUAACUGGACAGCAGAGCCUGAGUGGAAAGAACAAUGCGCUCGUCAGUUGGGAAAAGCUCCUCCAGGUAUCAACAGAUACAAGCAAGGCAAUCUCACUGUGCAGGUUGAUUAGAACUGGGUUUGUAUUUUGGACAAUAAACUCUAUUUAUGAUAGUCUCCCAGUCAUUAAGUAUCUCUGCUGUAAGAGAAAACUGGGGCUAUUAACUUCUCCAGAUAGAACCCCAGGGAAAAGUGAUCAUUUCUUUUCUAAGCAGAAGGGAAGGUUCUGCUCAAUAAAGAUCAAUUAAACAUCUCUGUUAAAAGACUGCUUGGAGCUGGUGCCAAAGGAAAUUCCACUGUAUUAACCCGUGCUCCCUCCAACCCUCCCCACCUCUGUAGCUUGCACUGGGGAAAAUUGUAAGAGGACGCUGGCUAUUGUAAGCUUUAUAAGGUGACAGUAGCUCUCACAUCCGUGGCUGAAUGAUCUUUGAUGUUGAGUGACUUUUCCUGCAUUUAGCAGGGGUAUUCCCAGAGGAUGGCAGGCAAAUCAAACGCUCCUCUGAAUUCAGCUGCUAGCAUCAAUCAUCCUCAUGAGGGAGUUAAAAAAAAGAAUAUAACAAUAGGUACCGGGAAAAAUGAUAUGGUGGUCUGAGCUAGUAAUUCCCAGGAUGCAGGAAGAGUUUUGGGGGCCCUAGAAAAUCCACUGCAUAAAGAAAACCCGCCACAAUCUCCACCAGCAUCUUAUAGUUACCACCUCAUUCUUGUCCUUUAAAAUACAGUGUGCUUGUCCUUUAAAAUACAGUGUGUCUUGUACGUUAAAAUACAGUGUGCUUCUACUCUCUGGCUUAGACUGCAUCCUCUCAUGUAAAUUCCAUCUGUUCUUGCUUGAGGGAGGGCAGACACAACCUUGACUUUAUCCUCUUGAUGAGAGUGAUGUUUCAUGGUGUUGGGAGGAUUUUCAUUGGGUCAAUUGCCUGAUUGAGACAUAGCCUUAGUGAGGUGACAAAUAGCAGGCAUUAAUGUCUCUUUUUUAAUGGUAUGAUGAAUGGUCUAAGAGAAGGGUCAGCAAACUGUAGCCAGCCGCCUGUUUUCGUAAAUAAAUUAUUGGACCACA